GACGAACGCUGGCGGCGUGCCUAAUACAUGCAAGUAGAACGCUGAAGAGAGGAGCUUACUCUUCUUGGAUGAGUUGCGAGCGGGUGAGUAACGCGUAGGUAACCUGCCUUGUAGCGGGGGAUAACUAUUGGAAACGAUAGCUAAUACCGCAUAACAAUGGAUGACACAUGUCAUUUAUUUGAAAGGGGCAAUUGCUCCACUACAAGAUGGACCUGCGUUGUAUUAGCUAGUAGGUGAGGUAAUGGCUCACCUAGGCGACGAUACAUAGCCGAGCUGAGAGGGUGAUCGGCCACACUGGGACUGAGACACGGCCCAGACUCCUACGGGAGGCAGCAGUAGGGAAGCUUCGGCAAUGGGGGCAACCCUGACCGAGCAACGCCGCGUGAGUGAAGAAGGUUUUCGGAUCGUAAAGCUCUGUUGUAAGUCAAGAACGGGUGUGAGAGUGGAAAGUUCACACUGUGACGGUAGCUUACCAGAAAGGGACGGCUAACUACGUG
rnacentral:rRNA from 1 species